AUCUAUCUAUCUAUCUAUCUAUCUAUCUAUCUAUCUAUCUAUCUCUAUGUACAGUAGAGUCUCACUUAUCCAAGCUAAACGGCCCAGCAGAACCUUGGAUAAGCGAAUAUCUUGGAUAAUAAGGAGAAAUUAAGGAAAAGCCUAUUAAACAUCAAAUUAGGUUAUGAUUUUACAAAUUAAGCACCAAAACAUCAUGUUAUACAACAAAUUAGUAGUUCAAUACUCAGUAAUGUUAUGUUGCGAUUACUGUAUUUACGAAUUUAGUACAAAAAUAUAAUGAUAUAUUGAAAAUAUUGACUGCAAAAAUUGCUUGCAUACUCCAGAAACUUGGAUAAGCGAGGCUUGGAUAAGUGAGACUCCACUGUAUUAGGUAUUUUUUCUCUAGGACCCUUUGAGCUUUGUGGAGACAACAUAUUUCUGUUUAAGAUUAAUGUAGUUUUUUUCUUUGGUGAAGCCAUGGUGAAAAAUUUGUUCACCAUGGCUUCUCAUCCCACACUGGACUGAAUGGGGUUUGGGUUAAUGUACAGCUUCUGUAAACAAAUGCUCCAUUAUUAAUCUCAGGGCAGCUGCGUUACAAGAUGAGCACAGACUCGUGGGCAAAAGCAUUUUAUGCUUUUCAUGAUAAUUGUGGCAAACAUAUGAACAACUGUUUUAUAUGCUUUGAGGAUAAUUUUCUUACGUCAGGCAAUUCUUUAGCAAUUUCAAGGCAAAGCGUAACAUGAUACACUUGUCGCAUACACUCUGGGAUUUUAAGCUAUUUGUGCAAACCCUCAUUGUUUGCUCACAAUUUUUCCAGAACACAUUCAAGUAUCCUUUCAGUCCCAAAUGCACAACUGUCCUGUGUUGAUUUGGAGGGCACUGUUUACAGUAGUCACAAAUAGGAUGGAAAGCACACCAAGGUUGUGUUGGUACUGGACAGAAUAUCAAAGUUGACAACCUGACAGAACCAUGUUUGUUUGGUCUGCACUAUUUCACUGUUGUGUGCCUUCUAAUCAUUUCCAGCCUAUGGCAACUGUAAAUCAAACCUAUGGGUUUUUCUGGGGUAGACAGUCACCAAGGACACCCAGUGGGUUCUCAUGGCUGAGCAGGGGAUUGAUCCCGUUUCCAGAGUCAUGGUCCACUAAUGCACUACUAACCUUUAUAUGUUUCCCAUACAUAGGAGCCUCAUAUCCUCAAUUUAAAUCACAGAUUUUCUUUUCUGUCUUCAGUUUCUACACCUACUUUCUGCAAAACAGAAAGGUGUUCUUUUGUUCCUCCCUGAGAUGACAUAUCAUGUUAAUCCGAUGCAGUUUUUGACAAAAAUUUAAUAGAAAUUGUGGUCAAAAGGCAACAAAGUUUUCCAGAGCUGCAUUCUGAAUGUGAGAGUGUAACUUGGCCAAGAUCACCAGUGAGUUUUCUUAGCAGACCCAGGAUCCAAAUGAUGGCCUCUCACUCUUAUUCCAACAUUUAAACAACUAUAUGACACUGACUCCAAGGAAACAUGCAUAUUGAACAUGGUUUAUUAUUCUUUCAUUACUGGGCAUCCCAAAGGCCAUAGGAUUGUAUUCAAUGUUAACGUUGCCUAAGGCAUUCUGCCCCACUUUAUUCACUUAAGGAUUCAGCUGAAGAAACACCACCAACCUGUAUGGAUGGCUGUUACUCCAAUUUUUCAGAAGACAGAUUGAGGCUGAAAGAUGUAACACUACUCCAUUUCUCCAGGACUUGGAUCAAGAAUUUUACAGUUAGUUUCUAGUCAUAACUGACCUAUUAUCACACUUCUUUUAUAGCAAGCCAGUAAUAACAUUCCAACAAGGCUGAGUGUCUGUGUUAGCAUUUUUAAUAUAAAAGACUUGCAUUCCCUCCCACUGCUUUUUUAAGAUUAUUUUUUAAAAACAUUUUGUGAUUUUUUGGGCUGUGAUCUCCUCCAAAUUCUCCCGGUGCUAUUCCCUUUGCAGAGGUUUAAGCCAUAUAGAAUUAAUCCUUUCUUCGGGUAUCUUAAGUGAAAAUAAAGAGGCCAACACUGCUAAAAUAAUGAACGCUCUGUUUAUGUCAUACCAUCUGGACACUUGGAGGUUUGAAUUGCUACAAACCCCUGCGUUAAGUGGCCUUGAUUCCUAUGCCUGUGGAAAAGACCAGACACAAAUUAUCCUCUUCCUGUUGUACCAAUUAAAAUCCACAGGUGCAACCCAACUGUAAUCAGAAGCUCCGCAGAGAGGUAUGCUCCGGAGACUCAUUGUAUAAUACAUAUGCAGGAGGGUUAUUUUUCCUGUGUCACGGGCCCCCGAGAUCUUCCCCCAAAUUUAGGCACCAGAUUGUCAGUGCAAAACCUCAUAAAACAACAAAGACAGGAACUUGGCUGUUAAGACUAACCAGAAAGUGUGAGUUUUGCCUUAAUAAUCUAGUCUCUCACUCCAGGGCUAUAUGUAUGAAACAGACUUGCUGGGUGUCUCUAAAGACCAUCCAUGCCCUCUAUUAAACAGCUGCAUUGCAGAAAGGGAGCAUGCAGAGCCCAGAGCAGGAAAUGACUCUCCAAGGAAGCAAGCCACACACGACCCAGAAGAAUAAGUCGAAGUGGGGAAGAAGGAGAGGCGGAUGAAGACUAUCAAAUCUUUUUUGUAAAUGUCCCACCUUCCGCCUGGUAGGUUUGAAGAGCAGAAGUAAGAAGGUAAGAGCCAUGUAGGGUCAAAGCAAGGGCUCAUCCAAUCUACUACUAUGUUCCCAUAGCGGCAGACAUAUGAGUAAUUACAUGUAGACCAUUGUUGUGCGUGAGUGGGAUGAAGUUGUGUGUAGAGUUUUGGUACAUGGCAUGCGUUUGAUACACCAAUACAUGUCAUCAAGAAGAUUUUAGCUGCAGUGUUUUUCUGUAAGCACCCUCAGUUUCCUUCUGUGAUAUUGAUAUCUUUUUUUGUUUGUAGGGUCAAAACAGUAUUUGGUAUUUCUGACUCCAGGUCAAUAUGUGCUUUGCUUCUUGGGCAUUAUUUAAUUAUCCAGUGCAUGCCCAGGCCUCAAAAGAAAAAUGUUGGACAUUUGGUAUAGCAGAGUGAUUAUGAAGUGAUACCAAUUAAGUUGUUUUGAAACACUGAGUUUACACAUUCCUUAAUUCAACAUAUCUUUUUACUAGUUUUUUACUAUAACACUAGUUAUACUUUGGACAUACCAAAGGAGAAAAAUAAGGCUACAUGUCUGCCCAGUUUUUUCUGGAGUGGAAGAACCCUAUAAAACCAAAAGUGUACCUGGCUGAGAAUUUAGCUUUUCUGACAUGCAAAUCUGAUGAUGUGAUAAACACUUCUUCUGAACACAAUCAAGUUAAUUAAAGUAAUUCUUGUGAAACAAGUGUGUAUAAAUACACACACUUGUGUCACAAGAAUUACUUUAAUUAACUUGGAAAAUGUGAAAAGAUGCAAACAAAAUCAAUAAUAUUAAGUAUGAGGGGAAGCACAGACUGGUUAACUUGCAUGUCAUGCUAAAUUUAGUGAAGGAAUAGGGGAUAUUUGUCGUGAUGAUUUAUAAAGGGAGGAACAACUUUAAUUGAUAAGAGAUUUCUCUCAAACAAUAUUUAUUUGAAAUUUCAAAGAAGUAGCACACCACCUGGCUAUUGGGAUAAUUGUCAAUUGUCACAUCAGCAAAAUAGGAAUUAGCUAAUAAUUUAUGUGCACAAUUUCCUUGUAUCCAGAUCCUAGGCCGUAUUUUCCCAUUGUGGUUUACCUUAUGGCAAGCUGGCUUAGCUAUGCACUGUAUUGGUUUUCUGCAUAGGAGAAUGCAAGGCCAUUCAUUCUUUGGAAAUCUCAUACUAAGAAAGGUAUUUCCUACUAGUAAAAAAGCCUAAGCUCAGUUCCACAGUUUCAGAUUCAACAUAGUGCAAAAUUUUUCACAACUUGCCAGGACCAACGUUCAAUAGGAUUCAGUACAUAAGUGGACUUUUAACAAUGUGACAAAUCAUGUAUUCAAUAACUUGGCAUAAAUAGAGAAAAUUUGAUCUUGAAAUCAGCUGCUAGUAAUGCAUGUGCAACAGUUCAAUACCUGCACAGUCAGUGUCAAUAACACCCCAAAGAUACCAAGAGAGGCUGUACUGGGUUACAAAGAACAUGACUUAAUAUGAUUAAACAUAAAUGUAUCAUUUCAAGCAGUUCCGUACAGCUUUCACAACUUCUUCUAAAAUGUUGUCUCUGUUCUCCUUUGUAAUCUAAAAGCAGAAAAAGAAGUAAGAUAUCAACAUAUAAAGAAUUUGGACUGGUAAUUACUGUCAAUUCGUCCACUUAAAACAAUUUUUUGCACUACAUGAUUGAAAAAAUAGGGACAAAUUCUUUGAAAGGUGAAGACGGAUGUGUCCAUGAUUAGAAGAACAAAGCCUGAGGAAUGCAGAACUCAAGUAUUUCUUCUUUAAAGACAUAUAGGAAUCCUUUCAAAUUUUAUACUGGGAGAACAUUCCUUCUGACCCUAUGGCACCUAAAUGCAAAUUAUUUCAGAUAUUGUAAUAUAAUCAGGUUUUAAAAAUUGCACAUCCUUUCACAGAUGUGAAAAUAUGCAGUCUGCUACAGUUGAUAUGGAUGGCAUAGUACCAAGCCAGAAAAGAUAUGGAAGAUUUAUCCAUUGUGAAUACACAAGUUUUGUGCCAUGCUUGCAAAGAGGGAAAAUAUGGUCCUGGGUAUACACAUAAUGUUCCUUUUAGAGUGCUGAAACAAUCCGCAGACAAAACACUGAAGAGCUCCAAAGGGAAUGCUUGACAGCAUCCCAACAACGCAUCGACUCAAUCAGCAAGAACUAAAUUAGGCAACUGGAAGAUGGGAUAGUGGCAAACAGGGCCGUGAAUAGCAAGGAGAGAUCAGCUUGCAAAAUCACGUUGAGAUGGUCUCUGGUGUGCUUCAGAAAAAAAAGAAAGAGAAUGAGAUGGAAAGUGGAGCUACAAAUCAAUAUCCUUUGAAGCUUUCACCCAAAUAAAUUGACAUGAAUAAAUUUAAAACAUCUUGGGUAUUCGCCAGUAUUGAUUUUGCAUCCAGGACUUCUGGUUUCAUGAGGCUUAAUAUAAAGACAACCUGACAUGCUAGCCAGGAACAAACAAAUGCGAGAUGGUGAUAGGCAGACAAAAGAAAGAAGUGUCUUGCAACAGACACAAGCGCUGAGGAGAAAACAUGAUGGGAAGCAGAGCUGAUAGUAUCCCAAGGGCCUGGAAGAUGCUAUAGAGUCUAGAUGUGAAGUUGCUAAACUCUGGUCCUGGCUCCAAAGAAUUUGAAUAUUUUUGAAGUUCUGGUGGCAAAUAAAAACCAACAAAGGUGCUGCAUGUAUUAUAGUCAUACCUCAGUUAAGAAAGCCUCUGAA